CCUACGGGAGGCAGCAGUGAGGAAUAUUGGUCAAUGGGAGAGAUCCUGAACCAGCCAAGCCGCGUGAGGGAAGACGGCCCUAUGGGUUGUAAACCUCUUUUGUCGGAGAACAAAACCCGGGACGAGUCCCGGACUGCGUGUAACCGAAGAAAAAGCAUCGGCUAACUCCGUGCCAGCAGCCGCGGUAAUACGGAGGAUGCGAGCGGUAUCCGGAUUUAUUGGGUUUAAAGGGUGCGUAGGCGGUCUGUUAAGUGAGCGGGAAAAUUGCGGGGCUAAACCCCGUCGAGCCGUUGAAACUGGCAGACUUGAGUUGGCGAGAAGUACGCGGAAUGCGCGGUGUAGCGGUGAAAUGCAUAGAUAUCGCGCAGAACUCCGAUUGCGAAGGCAGCGUACCGGCGCCAGACUGACGCUGAGGCACGAAAGCGUGGGGAUCGAACAGGAUUAGAUACCCCAGUAGUC
rnacentral:rRNA from 1 species